ACAGAACAAAGAAAAUCCAGUGAAUCCUUUGAAAGCUAUGCAAUUGGAUUUAAUAGUUUCAUAGUUCCCUCUUUUUGUGUUCCUGCUUAUCAGUAUCUGCUAUAAGCCUAUAACCAGUGGCUAAAUGUUUUAUUUUUCUUAUGUUUUUGCAGUAAGAGAGAGGUUAAUAAGAAAGUUCUCAAAGUUCCUGGAAUAGAGCAGAAGGUAAGACUACUCUAGAAAGUUAACGGUCCAUUUAAGUACUUAAAAGGUGAUUGUUGCAUAAUUUUAAGUAUUGAUGAUUGGUAGGCAAGGGGAUUUAAUAAACUAUCUAGAUACUGUUUUGAUCGAUAUCAUAUUUAAAAUAUGGCUCAUGGAUGAUGAUUGGUGUAUGGUUGUUCUGUGCUUUGAUAUACUAUAUUUAGCUAUAGCAUAAAUAUUUUCCCCAAAAAAAAAAAAAGGUUGAUCCGAGCACUUUUCUCAUUACAGGUAACAUUUUUCCAACACUUCCACAUCGCAGUCGUCCCAGAUUUGAGCAUUACAGGUUAGUAUUGAUGUAGCAGGUUCUGUUGUUUCCCAAAUGAAUAUGGUUUUGUUUGUAUGUUUGUAAUGCUCAUUAAAGCUUUUGUUUGUAUGGUUAUGGUUAUUGUUGCAUGACCAUUGUUCUUUUUGAAUUUAUCAGCCAAGUUAUAUGUUUUUACUAUUAGGUAACAUUUUUUUUAAAGAGCAUUAUGCCUACAAAUAAUGGGCUUCAAAUCACAAUUAUUUGUACAUGUAAAUACAAUACUGUUAAUAAUAAAUUUGUACAUGUAAAUGAGAUAAAAGUUA
rnacentral:lncRNA from 1 species